GCGAACCCUCUCCCUCUCCCUCUUUUUCUUCCUCUCCCUCUUUCUUUUCCUCUUCCUCUUCUUCUUCCCUCUUCUUCGUCGCUGGCGAGGGAGGAGAUGCGGCGGCGGCGCGCGGCAACGAACCCUUUCUCUCUUCAUCUUUCUCUUCUCUCUUCCUCUUCCUUUUCCUCUCCUUCUUCCUCUUCCCUUUUUUUCUUCCUCUCAUUCUUUCUCUUCCCUCUUAUUCAUCGCCGGCGAGCUCGACCCGCGCCGUCGCCGCCAUCCGCUCCGGCGGCCCGGAGAGGAAGAGGAAGAGAAAGAGAAGGGAAAGAUGAUACUUUUGGAGGGAUAUAUUUGUGAGGGUAAAAUGGUCAUUUCACAAUAAAACUGUUAAAAAAUAAACAGUUUUCUAACUUAUGUUAAUCAAAGAGACAUAUCUGCAUAAAUUAGGACUUUUAUAGGGACAACUUAUGGAGUUUCCGUUUUGCAGGGAUAUUUUUGUAAUUCACUAUGUUUGCAGGGACGUGUAUGCAAAUAACCCUUAAUUAUUCGUAUUGUUUAGUAUAUUUUUAAUUUGUCAUUCUAUAAUUUAAAGCGAAUCACUUGACUGCAUUGUAAC
rnacentral:lncRNA from 1 species